UACGUAGGGGGCAAGCGUUAUCCGGAUUUACUGGGUGUAAAGGGAGCGCAGACGGCAGUGCAAGUCUGGAAUGAAAGCCCGGGGCCCAACCCCGGAACUGCUCUGGAAACUGUGCGGCUAGAGUACUGGAGGGGCAGGCGGAAUUCCUAGUGUAGCGGUGAAAUGCGUAGAUAUUAGGAGGAACACCAGUGGCGAAGGCGGCCUGCUGGACAGUAACUGACGUUGAGGCUCGAAAGCGUGGGGAGCAAACAGG
rnacentral:rRNA from 1 species